AGAGUUUGAUCAUGGCUCAGGAUGAACGCUGGCGGUAUGCUUAACACAUGCAAGUCGAACGGGAUCUUCGGAUCUAGUGGCGGACGGGUGAGCUAACGCGUGAGAACAUGCCCUUAGGUUCGGGACAACAGUUGGAAACGACUGCUAAUACCGAAUGUGCCGAGAGGUGAAAGAUUAAUUGCCUAGGGAUUGGCUCGCGUCAGAUUAGCUAGUUGGUGGAGUAACGGUUUACCAAGGCGACGAUCUGUAACUGGUCUGAGAGGAUGACCAGUCACACUGGGACUGAGACACGGCCCAGACUCCUACGGGAGGCAGCAGUGGGGAAUUUUCCGCAAUGGGCGAAAGCCUGACGGAGCAAUACCGCGUGAGGGAGGAAGGCUUUUGGGUUGUAAACCUCCUUUAUCAGGGAAGAAGAUCUGGACGGUACCUGAAGAAUACCAUCGGGUUAACUCCGUGCCAGCAGCCGCGGUA
rnacentral:rRNA from 1 species